rnacentral:misc_RNA from 1 species
CUGAGGUCUCGUUCGUUACC